UCUGCCACCCCAGCUAAACCACUUGACCUUCGAUUACAUAACAGUCCCCAUCUGUGAGCUCAGCCAUCCUCAGGAGAUAGGAGGGGCCAUGAGAAGCUCAAGUUCACCAUGAGCCACAGCAGUAAGCCAUGCUUUAGCCUCUGACCUGUGCUCCAAUUUUGGUACAAUGAUUUCUGCCAUGUUCUCCAACAGAAAAGGAACUGCAUGUGUUUUUCUGCCUCUUCCAGAUAUAUGUCAUAAAAGUUGGAUGCCUUCCUUUUAAGACAUUUGAAUGGAUCACCAAAUAAUUACCUACUUUUCUCUCACAACUCAGAUAAAUAAUUAAAAGGAGAUACACACAGAUUGAUUGCAUACUUAAGAGUGAGAAUCAAUUAAAACAAAAUUGUACGCAUGUUCUUCCAAUAAUAUAUCCCUACAGGGACCGUG